AGAGUUUGAUCCUGGCUCAGGACGAACGCUGGCGGCGUGCUUAACACAUGCAAGUCGAACGGAAAGGCCCUUCGGGGUACUCGAGUGGCGAACGGGUGAGUAACACGUGGGUGAUCUGCCCUGCACUUUGGGAUAAGCCUGGGAAACUGGGUCUAAUACCGAAUAUGACCAUGCACUUCCUGGUGUGUGGUGGAAAGCUUUUGCGGUGUGGGAUGGGCCCGCGGCCUAUCAGCUUGUUGGUGGGGUAAUGGCCCACCAAGGCGACGACGGGUAGCCGGCCUGAGAGGGUGACCGGCCACACUGGGACUGAGAUACGGCCCAGACUCCUACGGGAGGCAGCAGUGGGGAAUAUUGCACAAUGGGCGCAAGCCUGAUGCAGCGACGCCGCGUGAGGGAUGACGGCCUUCGGGUUGUAAACCUCUUUCAGCACAGACGAAGCGCAAGUGACGGUAUGUGCAGAAGAAGGACCGGCCAACUACGUGCCAGCAGCCGCGGUAAUACGUAGGGUCCGAGCGUUGUCCGGAAUUACUGGGCGUAAAGAGCUCGUAGGUGGUUUGUCGCGUUGUUCGUGAAAACUCACAGCUUAACUGUGGGCGUGCGGGCGAUACGGGCAGACUUGAGUACUGCAGGGGAGACUGGAAUUCCUGGUGUAGCGGUGAAAUGCGUAGA
rnacentral:rRNA from 1 species